ACGGAGAAAAGAACCAACAGGGAUUGCCCCAGUAACGGCGAGUGAAGCGGCAACAGCUCAAAUUUGAAAUCUGGCCCCCUCGGGGCCCGAGUUGUAAUUUGCAGAGGGAGCUUUUGGCGUCGGUCGUGGUCUAAGUUCCUUGGAACAGGACGUCACAGAGGGUGAGAAUCCCGUACGUGGCCGCCGGCCUUCGCCUUGUAAAGCCCCUUCGACGAGUCGAGUUGUUUGGGAAUGCAGCUCUAAAUGGGAGGUAAAUUCCUUCUAAAGCUAAAUACCCGCCAGAGACCGAUAGCGCACAAGUAGAGUGAUCGAAAGAUGAAAAGCACUUUGGAAAGAGAGUGAAAAAGCACGUGAAAUUGUUGAAAGGGAAGCGCUUGCGGCUAGACGUGCCCGCGGUUGAUCAUCCAGGCUCCGGCCUGGUGCACUCCUCCGCGGGCAGGCCAGCAUCAGUUCGGGCGGUCGGAUAAAGGCCUCUGUCACGUACCACCCCUCGGGGUGGCCUUAUAGGGGAGGCGCAACACGGCCAGCCCGGACUGAGGUUCCGCGCAUCUGCUAGGAUGCUGGCGUAAUAGCAGCAAGCGGCCCGUCUUGAAACACGGACCAAGGAGUCUAACAUCUAUGCGAGUGUUUGGGUGUCAAGCCCGAGCGCGCAAUGAAAGUGAACGGAGGUGGGAACCCUCACGGGUGCACCAUCGACCGAUCCUGAUGUCUUCGGAUGGAUUUGAGUAAGAGCAUAGCUGUUGGGACCCGAAAGAUGGUGAACUAUGCCUGAAUAGGGUGAAGCCAGAGGAAACUCUGGUGGAGGCUCGCAGCGGUUCUGACGUGCAAAUCGAUCGUCAAAUUUGGGCAUAGGGGCGAAAG
rnacentral:rRNA from 1 species